rnacentral:rRNA from 1 species
CCUACGGGCGGCUGCAGUGGGGAAUAUUGCACAAUGGGCGCAAGCCUGAUGCAGCCAUGCCGCGUGUGUGAAGAAGGCCUUCGGGUUGUAAAGCACUUUCAGCGGGGAGGAAGGCGGUGAGGUUAAUAACCUCAUCGAUUGACGUUACCCGCAGAAGAAGCACCGGCUAACUCCGUGCCAGCAGCCGCGGUAAUACGGAGGGUGCAAGCGUUAAUCGGAAUUACUGGGCGUAAAGCGCACGCAGGCGGUCUGUCAAGUCGGAUGUGAAAUCCCCGGGCUCAACCUGGGAACUGCAUUCGAAACUGGCAGGCUAGAGUCUUGUAGAGGGGGGUAGAAUUCCAGGUGUAGCGGUGAAAUGCGUAGAGACCUGGAGGAAUACCGGUGGCGAAGGCGGCCCCCUGGACAAAGACUGACGCUCAGGUGCGAAUGCGUGGGGAGCAAACAGGAUUAGAUACCCUAGUAGUC